rnacentral:rRNA from 1 species
CUACGCCUACAUGAAGCUGGAGUUACUAGUAAUCGCAGAUCAGAAUGCUGCGGUGAAUGCGUUCCCGGGUCUUGUACACACCGCCCGUCACACCACGGAAGUUGGGGGCGCCCGAAGCCACUUAGCUAACCCAUUUGGGAAGCGAGUGUCGAAGGUGAAAUCAAUAACUGGGGUGAAGUCGUAACAAGGUAUC